GGAGAGAUGCCCGAGCGGUUGAAGGGACUGGUCUUGAAAACCAGCGAGCCGAAAGGCUCCGUGGGUUCGAAUCCCACUCUCUCCGCCA
rnacentral:tRNA from 1 species